rnacentral:rRNA from 1 species
GUGGGGAAUUGUUCGCAAUGGGCGCAAGCCUGACGACGCAACGCCGCGUGGAGGAUGAAGAUCUUCGGGUCGUAAACUCCUUUCGAUCGAGACGAACGGCCCCCGGAUUAACACUCUGGGGGAGUGACGGUACCGAGAGAAGAAGCCCCGGCUAACUCCGUGCCAGCAGCCGCGGUAAUACGGGGGGGGCAAGCGUUGUUCGGAAUUACUGGGCGUAAAGGGCUCGUAGGCGGCCAACUAAGUCAGACGUGAAAUCCCUCGGCUUAACCGGGGAACUGCGUCUGAUACUGGAUGGCUUGAAUCCGGGAGAGGGAUGUGGAAUUCCAGGUGUAGCGGUGAAAUGCGUAGAUAUCUGGAGGAACACCGGUGGCGAAGGCGGCAUCCUGGACCGGUAUUGACGCUGAGUGAGCGAAAGCCAGGGGAGCAAACGGGAUUAGAUACCCGAGUAGUCC